GAGACAGUUAACACUGUGUUUCCUUUCUGGAAGAGAUGUUGUAGAUGGGCUUCCACAAAAGUAAGGCCUCUGUAUGAUUUCAGCAUUCAAAUAUUUAAUGAGGCAUUUCUAUGGAAAUAUAAUAAACAAAGAUAAGUUAGGUAAUAGUCAUAAAACCUAAAAAUGAUUACCCUAACUUUCCUCUUCUUUCUGUGAAAGUAUUUAGGGGUGGCAAAUAUCCAAGUCUCCCAACACCAGAUAUGUUACUGGUGGCAAAUAUCUGAGUCUCAUGGCACCAAAUAUGUUAGGGGUGGAAGGUAUUGGAGUUAAGGGUGGUGAAUCCGUACAGGUCUGCAGCAACCUCAAUUCUUGCCUCCUCGGAAGAAAGAAUUCAACUGAGAGGCAUAAGGCAGAAAAAGAGACCAAGGCAAGUUUCAGAGCAGUAGUGGAAUUUUAUUUAAAAAGGCUUUUGAACAGGAAAGAAAGGAAAGUACGCUUGGAAUAGACAUAAGAGGGCAUGUGAAGGUCAAGUGCCAUCUUUAACCCUGAUCCUAGAACUUUAUAGACUGGCCCCUUUCCCGUGAUUCUUCCCUUAGUGUGGGCUUCCUGUACAUGCAGUACCCUUCUUACCCUUGGGAGGUGAGUACACGCAGUAUUUUUAGGAAGUUGUAUGCGUGCUCAUCUGAGACUUUCUUCCCUUUUCUGGUGGAGUGUCCUCGGAAGGUCAUACUCUGCCAUUUUGUCUCUUAAUGCACAUGCCCAGGAAGUUGCAUCUCUCUGGCACCUACAAUUAACACUUUAGUGCAACAGGUGUGGACCAUAAAAAAAAUGACCUCUCCCUGACACCGGCUGUCAAUUUAUCACUUUUACAAUGUGAUAAUUGCUGAACAAUUACCCAACAUUCCUAAUGGGUGGAGAAAGAGCCCUCUCCUGGACCACUCCUCCUAACUGCCAUAAAGAACUUAUCUGACCUACUUUGUUUGAUAGUAGGUCAUAAGAGCCCCUUUUAAAAGAGGGUCCUUACCUAUAUCCAGAAGGAAGAAAUGCUGCACAGAGAGGCUAGGACAAAUACGAACAGACGGGCUUUGCUGUUUCCCGACUCAGUCUAUUAGCAUUAGCUAUUACUCUCUUUUCAGUCAUGGCUCUGCACAGUUGACCAUUUUUUAUUAAACCUAAGCAUAAUAACGGACACCUUCACCCAUAUCUUUGGGUCUUUAUUCUGAAGGUUCUCAUGUAACAUAAAACUGUGAUUCAAUAUAAUUAUUUUGCUUCUCUCUUGUUAAACUGUCUUUGUUCUAAGGGUGUCAGCUGUGACCCUUAUGGGGAGGAAAGAAAUCACCCAUUUUGCACCCCCACAGGAAAUUAGUUAACAUAUUAUUUAUUAAUUUUUUGCUAAAAUAUAUCUUAUCAAAUAACAGCUAGAGUGCAAUUUAGCAGAAAUGAUGUUGGCAUUACACAAAUAUAGAACAUUUUUUAUACACCUCUAUAUUUUGUGGGCUCAGAAACUGAUAUCCCAAAAUAUGGUGUUUUAAUGUGCUGAACUUAAGAAGCCUCAAGUCUCGCUGACCUGUCCUCCACCACAGCCUCUCCCAAAGCAUGGGACAAAGUUGUUAUUUGAAGCUGCUCUAUCGGCCCAAAGUCCAGACGCACCAGGGAGAACAAUUGUUGUUGUUUUUCUCUUCCCUAUUAUAUAAUUAUUUAUUGCCGAAAAGAAGACCAAGAAUUUAACCACACAAGAACAGACUCUUAUAUAAGAUAAUGUCUGUCUCUCAAAUGUAUUCAAAUUCCAAAGAGAACUAUUUACCAGUUAAUCUGUUCCCCAUCCAUUUAUUCUUCCUGUUAUUCAAUUAUUGCCCCUCACCAUAAUUCUUCUUCCUCCCUUUCAAAAUCUGUUUUGCCAGGAUCUGAGUCCCAUUCUUUCUGUAACAUCAAGCUGGUGUAUAAGCUUCUUUGCCUUAUUGGGGGGUUGGAUCUUUGUUUCCUGUAUAAACAUUGAAUAAAUUUGUAUGCCUUUUCUCUUAUUAAUCAACGUGUCUCAUGUCGGUGAUUUUCAGCCAACCUUAAGAGGGCAAAGAGGAAUUGUCCCCUUGGCUACCCUACAAUAUCUAUUACCUGUAUCUUUCUUAAAAUUGUACGUUAGCCAUUUUUACUAGUUUUGAAAAUGUUUUUUAAAAGAGAAAAUAGUGUUUUGCAAAAGUUAGCAGACAAUUUUAUUGAAGUCCCUAAUGCCUAAUUUUUUAAGUGAUUAUUUGCAUAACAUAUAUUUUAUCAAAUGUGUUGCAUUAUGUUAAUGGCAUUUUGAUUGUUAGUAUUAAUUUAUGUGAUAAAUAUUUCCUACAUUAAAAAAUUUAAUACCAAUAAAUAAAUAGCCUUCUUUCAUUCAGAGCACAUAUGGCUCUUUCAAUGGGGCAAAGAGGUAUCCAACUGCUACUGACUUUAAGCAGAUCAAAAAUUCUUUUCAGGUUGAGCAGGACACAAAUUAGUCACAAUCAAUCACAUUAUCUGUUCUCUUACACCUUCCAAUUCCACUCUGAAUAGUAUCCACAGGAAAGAAUUAGUAGGAAAUUAAAUUAUAAUCAUGUAUUCUGGAGAAUGUAUAGAAAGUAUUAAAGGACUGUGUAGAAGAAAUUUGAAUAGAACAUAAAGGCAUUAGAUUCGUGUGAAAAGAACACAGCAGCAUAUGUGCCUUGUGAUAUAAUGUCAGACAAAUUUCUUUCAUAUAAUUAGCGAACCCUGGUGUUGCAGAACUUUGCUUCUUAGUUCAGCUAAAACCAAGUUCUUGUGACACGACCAGGAAGUUAGGCAUGCAGGCACAUUGAAGGGUGAGGGGAAUGGAAUUUAUUGGGCAAAAAGGAAAAAAAAAAAACAACAAAAAACACCUCUCAACAAAGCGAGAGGAGUUCCUGCUAACAGGCUGCCACCUCACAGGUUGAUUUUAGGCCACACACAGUAACUGAAGAGGCCAGGCUCCUCCCCUGUGUAAACAGCACAAACUUCCCAUGGCUCCACCCUGUUCUCCCAGUGCACAGGCCGGUAGGAGAUUGUCGGGAGACCCUCUCCCUUAUCUGCUUUCUGCAUCUAUCACUGGCUUACUAUGUACAUGAAUAUAAGACAGAAAUUUUAAUGUAACAACUAGGAAGCAAAAAAAAAAAAAAAAAAUUACACAGUUUUACAGCCUGUUAAUGAAAUUCCAUUUUCAUUGUUAUGGGUGGUGUGCAUUUUUAGAAUUAUAAUAUUUAAUAGCAUAGGUGUAUUAGUCCAUUUUCACGCUGAUCAUAAAGAUAUACCCAAGACUGGGCAAUUUACAAAAGAAAGAGAUUUAACGCACUUACAGUUCCACUUGGCUAGGGAGGCCUCACAGUCACAACAGAAGAUGAAAGACAUGUCUGACAAGGAGGCAGACAAGAAAAGAGCACUUGUGCAGGGAAAUCCCCGUUUUUAAAACCAUCAGAUCUCAUGAGACUUAUUCACCAUCAUGAGAACAGCAUGGGAAAGAACCACUCCCGUGAUUGAAUCACAUCCCACCAGGUCCAUAUCACAAUAUGUGGAAAUUCAAGAUAAGAUUUGAAUGGCGACACAGCCAAACCGUAUCAUUCCACCCCAGCCUCUCCCAAAUCUCAUGUCCUCACAUUUCAAAACCAAUCAUGCCUUCCCAACAGUCCCCCAAGUCUUAACUCAUUUUAGCAUUAACUCAAAAGUCCAACAUCUCAUCUGAGACAAAGCAAGUCCUUUCUGCCCAUGAGCCUGUAAAAUCAAAAGCAAAUUAGUUACUUCCUAGAUACAAUGUGGGUAUAGGGAUUGGGUAAAUACAGCCAUUCCAAAUGGCAGAAAUUGGCCAAAACAAAGGGGCUACAGACCCCAUGCAAGUCGGAAAUCCAGCAGGGCAGUCAAACCUUAAAGCUCCAAAAUGAUCUCCUUUGACUCCAUGUCUCACAUCCAGGUCACGCUGAUGCAAGUGGUGGGUUCCUGAGGUCUUGGGUAGCUCCACCCCUGUGGCUUUGUAGGGUACAGCCUCCUUUCUGGCUGCUUUCACAGGUUGGCAUUGAGUGUCUGUGGCUUUUACAGGCGCACGGUGCAAACUGUCAGUGGAUCUAUCCUUCUGGAUUUUGGAGGACGGUGGCCCUCUUCUCACAGCUCCAGUAGGUGGUGUCUCAGUAGAAACUCUAUGUGGGGGCUCAGACCCCACAUUUUCUUUCCUCACUGCCCCAGCAGAGGUUCUCUAUGAGAGUCCUGCCCCUGCAGAAAACUUCUGCCUGGGCAUCCAGGCGUUUCCAUUCAUCUUCUGAAAUCUAGGCAGAGGUUCCCAAACCUCAAUUCUUGACUUCUGUGCAUUUGCACACUCAACACCAUGUGGAAGCUGCCAAGGCUUUGGAAUUGCGUCCUCUGAAGCCACGGCCUGAGCUAUAUGUUGGCCCCUUUCAGCCACAGCUGGAGUGGCUGGGAUGCAGGGCACUAAGUCCCUAGGCUGCACACAGCACAGGGACCCUUUGCUCAGCUCGCAAAACUGCUUUUUCCUCCUAGACCUCUAGGCUUGUUAUGGGAGGGGCUGCCAUGAAGACCUCUGACAUGCCCUGGAGACAUUUUCCCAGUUGUCUUGGGGAAUAACAUUAGGCUCCUUGUUACUGAUGCAAAGUUCUGCGGCCGGCUUGGAUUUCUCCUCAGAAAAUGGGAUUUUAUUUUCUAUCGCAUUGUCAGGCUGCAAAUUUUCUGAACUUUUAUGCUCUGCUUCCUUUUUAAAACUGAAUGAUUUUAACAGCGCCCAAGUCACCUCUUAAAGGCUUUGCUGCUUAGAAAUUUCUUCCGCCAGAUACCCUAAAUAAUCUCUCUCAGAGUCUAUGUUCCACAAAUCUCCAGGGCAGUGGCAAAACUCUUGCUAAACCAUAACAAGAGUCGCCUUUGCUCCAGUUCCCAAAAAAUUUCGCAUAUCCCUCUGAGACCACCUCAGACUGGAUUUCAUUGUCCAUAUUUUCAGGAUUUUGGUCAAAGCUAUUCAACAAGUCUCUAGGGAGUUCCAAACUUUCCCACAAUUUCCUGUCUUCUUCUGAGCCCUCCAAACUGUUCCAACCUCUGCCUGUUACCCAGUUCCAAAGUCGUUUCCACCUUUCCCAGUAUCUUUUCAGCAGCACUCCACUCUACUGGUAACAAUUUACUGUAUUAUUCCAUUUUCGCAAGUUCCACGUGGCUUGGGAGGCCUCAUGAUCAUGACAGAAGGUAAAAGGCACAUCUCACAUCGUGGCAGACAAGAGAAUAGAGU
rnacentral:lncRNA from 10 species